rnacentral:rRNA from 1 species
UACGUAGGGGGCAAGCGUUAUCCGGAUUUACUGGGUCUAAAGGGCGCGUAGGCGGGAUGGCAAGUCAGAUGUGAAAUCCAGGGGCUCAACCCCUGAACUGCAUUUGAAACUGUCGUUCUUGAGUACUGGAGAGGUUGACGGAAUUCCUAGUGUAGCGGUGAAAUGCGUAGAUAUUAGGAGGAACACCAGUGGCGAAGGCGGCUUACUGGACUGUAACUGACGUUGAGGCUCGAAAGCGUGGGGAGCAAACAGG